GAUGAACGCUAGCGGGAGGCUUAACACAUGCAAGGUCGAGGGGUAAAUGGCAGCAAUGCUAUGAGACCGGCGGACGGGUGCGUAACGCGUAUGCAACAUACCUUGUGCAGGGGGAUAGCCCGUGGAAACGCGGAUUAAUAUUCCAUAGUCCAGCUGUAUCGCAUGGUAUAGUUGGUAAAGAUUUAUCGGCACAAGUUUGGCAUGCGUCUGAUUAGCUUGUUGGUAGGGUAACGGCCUACCAAGGCGACGAUCAGUAGCUGGCCUGAGAGGGUGGUCAGCCACAAUGGGACUGAGAUACGGCCCAUACUCCUACGGGGGGCAGCAGUCUAGAGGCUUCCGCAAUGGGGGAAACCCUGACGGAGCGACGCCGCGUGUGGGAUGAAGUCUUUCGGGAUGUAAACCAUUUUCGCUGGGAAAGAAGGUCUCAGUCGUGAACUGAGAAUUGACGGUACCCGGUAAAGAAGCCCCGGCUAACUCCGUG
rnacentral:rRNA from 1 species